AACCAGCACCUCAAGUGGUCAGGAGGAUUAUUGGGCCUAAAGCAUCCGUAGCCGGCUCUGUAAGUUUUCGGUUAAAUCCAUGUGCUCAACACAUGGGCUGCCGAAAAUACUGCAUAGCUAGGGAGUGGGAGAGGUAGACGGUACUCGGUAGGAAGGGGUAAAAUCCUUUGAUCUAUCGAUGACCACCUGUGGCGAAGGCGGUCUACCAGAACACGUUCGACGGUGAGGGAUGAAAGCUGGGGGAGCAAACCGG
rnacentral:rRNA from 1 species